rnacentral:rRNA from 1 species
UGGGGAAUUUUGCACAAUGGGCGCAAGCCUGAUGCAGCGACGCCGCGUGAGGGAUGAAGGCCUUCGGGUUGUAAACCUUUUUCGCUCAUGGUCAAGCCGCAGCUUUGGGUUGUGGUGAGGGUAGUGGGUAAAGAAGCGCCGGCUAACUACGUGCCAGCAGCCGCGGUAAUACGUAGGGCGCGAGCGUUGUCCGGAAUUAUUGGGCGUAAAGGGCUUGUAGGCGGUUGGCCGCGUCUGCCGUGAAAUCCUCUGGCUUAACUGGGGGCGUGCGGUGGGUACGGGUUGACUUGAGUGCGGUAGGGGAGACUGGAAUUCCUGGUGUAGCGAUGGAAUGCGCAGAUAUCAGGAGGAACACCAGUGGCGAAGGCGGCUAUCUGGACAGUAACUGACGCUGAGGCGCGAAAGCGUGGGUAGCAAACAGG